UAUUUUAAUAUUGGUAGAUACAUGUUAAUAUAUGAUGACUAAAAGCUUACGUGCCGAGUAAAUCAAUUUAAAGAAAUAUAUAUGCAUGUUUAGUGACUACCUUAAUAUGUUGAAAACACCUAAUUCAUACCUAAUAUAGUUAUUCCUAAUGACAUGUUUAGUUUCUAAAUAUGUAUGUGACACACCCCGUCCCGAAGGAGGGCAUGCUGGCCGUCACAUGAGAGUGACGUAACCAUUUACACAGUUCGGAAGCUUUUAAAAUACAAUUAUUAAAAUGGAAACCCUCGAGGGUGAGUCCUACUUUUGUGAUUUCUGUCAGAAUACCGUUGGAUUCCUUGUGGCCACCAAAACUCUGCUAUCAAGAACCUGGAGGGGCGAAAAACAAAAUUGAGUGGGUCAGUAAAACCAAGCUUUUCAAAAACAUUUCGCCAAAAAUAAUUAUAACCCCUCACUGUAAAACCUGUAUACUUUUCCCAGAAAAUAGUAUAAUAACAUAAUACUUUUCAUAAAUCUCGAAUCAUCAAUUUUUCUUUAAAACCCGAAAGUAAUGCCAUGUUUUAAUUUCGAAAACAAAAAAUAAAAUGAUGCAUCAAUGUAACAGGUGAAAAGUUGAAUUAACCGGAGACCCUGCAGUUGGUCCUGUACGGUUAAUUCCAUAGCUCAACAUCCAAUCCAACCGGAGUCACCUCGAUGACCUGUACGGCACUACACUGCAGAUAAGUCGGAACUACCUGAAGUAGUCUGUACGACAUGGAUGGUGUAAUAAUACGCUCUAGUGCUUCUCUCAUCAAUCAUCUGUGCACAUAAUCUAAGGUCACUCACUAGUCGGAAUCACAUCUAGUAAUCUAUACGACUAGCAUGUCGGAACCCUCACUUGGUCUGUACGACAUCCACCUACUUGGAUCCAAGACGAGCGUGCGGUGUGGUGAAUAAUAUAAGCACUAACACCAUGAUUGCAGGUUAUGAGCUAUCCACAACAUACACAUCAACAAUGCACAUGAAUAAUAUAAAACUCACCUGAUACUUACAUGUGCGUCCACAGCACCAAUUCACAUAUAUAUAUGCAUCAUAUAUCAAUUCAUGCUUUUCAUAUACUUCUAUGCAUGGCAUUUCAAAUCAUACUUUUCAUAUAAAUCUAUCCAUGGCAUUUUAAAUCAUGCUUUCAUUUAAAUUCAAUUUCUGGGGAAACUCAAUAGUAUAUAGGUAAUACGAAAACAAAACUGCCCACUCACCUGGAGUUCGCCCUACAACUCCCUAGCACAACUCAUCAAGGCGUCAUGACGAUCGCCGCCUAGAACAAUAAUCAAAUCCAACCUCAGAAAUCAUAUCGAUAGAAUAUAACUUAUAUAAAAUACGUCACUACAUAGAUUGAUCCGAAAGAUCUGCAACUUAGAUUUUAAAUCCAUAACUUCCAGAGUCCACAAUAUAUCUCUAGGACAACAUCCUGAAAUUUCAUUACCAUCCAACGGUCGGAUCUCCGUCAAUUUCCAAAACUAAGUGACGGUUAACAUUUUAUUUUAUGAACUUACAACUCCAAUUCCGGAAGAUCCGUAACUCGGAUUCCCAAUCCGUAAGUUCCAAUAAUCCUCAAAUAUUACAUAUUACAACGUAUCAAAGUUUGGUGACGAUCCAACGGUCGGAUCGUCAAUUCACAUUUUCACCUAAAUGCGAAAACUAUAAAACGUUAUUUAAAGCACCCUAACCAAUAAUCGUAAUAACUUUCUCAUACGGUGCUCAAAUUGGGUAUAUGAAUAUACCACAUUGACCUACUCGACGUCACGGACGUCGACACAAUUUUUAAAAAUAAUUUUUACUGUGGCACGCGCCCCCACGCGCCAAGGAAGGCACGGGUCCACGCGCGCCCACGCGCACCUUCUUCCUCGCGAGUUCGCCGGACUGGUUUUUCUCCGGUGGCCAGAUUCUGGGCAUUUUUCAAAUGCCUUGUUCUCCUUCGUUUCUCAACCAUUUUCUUCGUAUAAUAUAUCAAUUUAAAGCCCUCAACAUGUAGAAUCACAAUAUACUACUUUUAAGCUUCAAAAACAGCUAAAUCUCACCGGAAAAAUCCAAGCAAAACCGGCCAAACUUAACCCUCGUGAUCCGACGUCCAAAUCCUUCCAACGAAGCACUCCAAGCUUCCUUGGGACCUCACUAAGCUCACUAUGAGCUUGGAUUGUCCUAAAAAUCAACCAACAAAAAGUUCAUGAACAGUGCCAAAAUCGGUGCUUGGGAUUUCGACGUGAAAUCGAAAGAUUUCUUACCUAAAAUGGGUGUGGUUGAGUUCGUAUAGUCCUCACGAGCACGAUGGUACCUUCACAACCUUCGAUCCGUGCUUGUAGGCUUGGUGGUGAGUGUGUCCGUACAAGUCGAGAGUGAAAGAGUGAGAGAAAGCCGUGAGGGAGGAGAGAGGCAGCACGGGGGAAGGAAAGGGUUGAGGUUGACCCGUGUGUGUGUUGUGUGGUCCAACAAAACCCACCAAAAUUCCAAGUCUUUUAAUUCCUUAACCACACAAAAAUACAUACCAAAUUUUAAAUCAACCUUUAAUCCAAUUUAAUUAAUUUUCCAAAAACUUAGGAACCAUGAAAUGU
rnacentral:lncRNA from 1 species